GAAACAUCUUCACAGUGGGCAGAGUGGUAGCUUUUGAUGGUCCUUCAGAGCCUCAGCUCUGGGAAUUCUAGCUCAUAUCCCCAUAGUCUGCUCCCAAGCCCACCCCCUCUUGUUUUUGGAACAAAGGCUGAAAAUAGCCAUCACAAAUAUUUCGAAUGAUUUGGUUGGUUAGAUUAAAAUGCAAACCACUGGUAAGUUUAUAAAAUAAUUUCAAAUGAAAGAGUGCUAUAAAUAAGGGGUAGACCUAUUCCCUGCAGGAAGAAUGCCUCCCACUAUGAAAAUGGAAAAGCAUUAAGGAAGCACGACCCAGCUCGGCCCUUUCUGUUGGAAUUGGUGAGGUGGGAGUGACUGAGACAUAAACCUCGCCCCUGAGGAAGGUCUGAUCCUGUGAGCAAGAAAGGCAGUGAGAAGCACAGCCUGAAUCUGUAGAGGGCAGGAUCUGAGGACGACCUUGCAAGCUGUGUGUACAGAGGUUUGAGCCCCCAAGAUAACAGGAGUUUCCUCACACAGGAAUGUUCUGCCAUGACCAGGAGCUUCCCAUGAAGCUCAAUUUCAUCCCCAAAUCCCUUGGUUGGAAUUAUAUAUGGAGAAUGACUCUGCCCCAGGGAAAUCUUAAGUGCUAGAAAUAGGCUUUAAAAGUUGCUCCAACACCUUUUCUCCCAUUCAGCUAGAAAUUAAAGACUGUCUCCUGUGAAUGAAAAGUUCCUGCAAGCUGGACAGGGCACAAAAGUUACCCCAAUAAGGAGUAUGGAGAGGGUUCACCCCCAGUUUCACUCUUGAUAACCCCAGCCCCAACAAGUUGCAAUCUCAUGAUAUCUGCCAUUAUUUAUUUUUAUGACAUUGAUCGCAUUGAUGAUGAGUGAAAUGAAAAAAAGAAAUCAUGGAAUCACAAGACUUGGAUAAUUCACACCCUAGAUGACCAGUCCUCAGGUCAUUGACACGGGACAGUUUUAAUGGCUCCACCCAUCUUGUGAGUAACGACUCCAGGUGCCAGCAGGUGAAGGUCUGGGCUCCUCAGCAGGGCAGACGAGUCUCACCUCUCUCCAGCCCCAUUGCCAUCACUCUCCUCCACAUGCACCUGCACACACCUGCAGGCCCAGGUCCUCAGCUAUGUACUCUACCUCUUCUCAGCUUUGGAAAUGUCUACUCAUCCUCUGUGGUGCAGUUAAAAUGUCUCCUUGGCGUGUUUUACAGAACUUCCGGACCAGAUUUUACGUAUUCUUCCUUUGUGGAAAGCACUGUGCUGAGAAAAAAAGAGGAAAGAAUCUUGCAUUGAAGUACCUAGCUUUGUUUGCUUUGUCUUUUAAUUUUAAAAAAUUAUAGUCGUGAUAAAAUACACAUAAAACUGACCAUUUGAACCACUUUGAGGUGUGUCGUUUGGUACUGUUAAUUAUACCCACAGUGCUGAAGCUUGGAUCUUUAGAACUUUUUUCUUCAUCUAGCAAAACAGCAACUCUGAGUCCAUGAACAAUAACUCUCCAGUCCCCUUUCCCCAGCCCUGGGCUACCAUUUGUCUGUUCAUCCAGUGAUGGAAAUUUAGUCGCUUCCACCUUUGUCUACUGUGAAUAAUGCUAUUAUGAACAUGAGUAUACAAAUAUCUCGUUAAGACUUUGCUUUCAAUUCUCCUGGAUAUAUAUUAGAAGCUGAUGAUAAUUCUUUUUUAUUUAAUUUCUGAGGAACCCCUUACUGUUACUCAUAGUGGCUGCACGAUUUUAUAUUUCUACUAACAGCGCACAAGGACGCCAACUUCUUGG
ensembl:lncRNA